GACGAACGCUGGCGGCGUGCUUAACACAUGCAAGUCGAACGGAAAGGCCCUGCUUGCAGGGUACUCGAGUGGCGAACGGGUGAGUAACACGUGGGUGAUCUGCCCUGCACUUCGGGAUAAGCCUGGGAAACUGGGUCUAAUACCGGAUAGGAGCCAUUUUUAGUGUGAUGGUUGGAAAGUUUUUUCGGUGUAGGAUGAGCUCGCGGCCUAUCAGCUUGUUGGUGGGGUAAUGGCCUACCAAGGCGGCGACGGGUAGCCGGCCCGAGAGGGUGGACGGCCACAUUGGGACUGAGGUACGGCCCAGACUCCUACGGGAGGCAGCAGUGGGGAAUAUUGCACAAUGGGCGCAAGCCUGAUGCAGCGACGCCGCGUGGGGGAUGACGGCCUUCGGGUUGUAAACUCCUUUCGCUAGGGACGAAGCUUUUUGUGACGGUACCUAGAUAAGAAGCACCGGCUAACUACGUG
rnacentral:rRNA from 1 species